rnacentral:rRNA from 1 species
GACGAACGCUGGCGGCGUGCUUAACACAUGCAAGUCGAGCGGAAAGGCCCCUUCGGGGGUACUCGAGCGGCGAACGGGUGAGUAACACGUGAGUAAUCUGCCCUUCACUUCGGGAUAGCCCUGGGAAACCGGGAUUAAUACCGGAUAUGACGCGCCCCCGCAUGGGGUGUGUGUGGAAAGUUUUUUCGGUGGAGGAUGUGCUCGCGGCCUAUCAGCCUGUUGGUGGGGUAAUGGCCUACCAAGGCUUCGACGGGUAGCCGGCCUGAGAGGGUGACCGGCCACACUGGGACUGAGACACGGCCCAGACUCCUACGGGAGGCAGCAGUGGGGAAUAUUGGACAAUGGGCGGAAGCCUGAUCCAGCAACGCCGCGUGAGGGAUGACGGCCUUCGGGUUGUAAACCUCUUUCAGCGCCGACGAAGCGAGAGUGACGGUAGGCGCAGAAGAAGCACCGGCCAACUACGUGCCAGCCGCCGCGGUAAAAC